rnacentral:rRNA from 1 species
UACGGAGGGUGCGAGCGUUGUCCGGAUUUAUUGGGUUUAAAGGGUGCGUAGGUGGCUUGUUAAGUCAGUGGUGAAAUACAGCCGCUCAACGGUUGAGGUGCCAUUGAUACUGACAAGCUUGAAACAAGUGGAGGCUGCCGGGAUGGAUGGUGUAGCGGUGAAAUGCAUAGAUAUCAUCCAGAACACCGAUUGCGAAGGCAGGUGGCUACGUUUGAUUUGACACUGAGGCACGAAAGCAUGGGGAGCAAACAGG